rnacentral:sRNA from 1 species
GCUGGGUGAGGUGGAGCCCACCUAUAAUCCCAGUGGCUUGGGAGGCUGAGGCAGGAGGAUCAUGAGUUCAAAGUCAAUCUGGGCAAAAGCAAGGUACUAAACAGCUCAAUGAGACCCUGUCUCUA